GGAGGAGGAGCGAGACUUGAGGCUUGAGGGCGGGCGGGUGGCGGAGUCUGGGGAGAUUCUGCGGCCGGGCUGCAGGUAGAACUUUCUGUGCGUCAUCGUGUCCCUAUCAUCGUGAUCUGCAAUCAGCUCAGAUGUCCAGCAGAAUCCAGCUUCCCUGUCAAUAAGCUCUUUAAUCGUUCCCGAAAAUCUCGGGUGAGUGCAGGACCUUCCCAGUGGUGUUACACGUAGACGGUCACAUUGGGAAAAUGCCGCAGCGUUCCUCCAGCAGGACACAGUGGCACCCAAGCCCCAGGCCUGCAGUGCCUGAGCGAGCGGAACAUCUCUGGGCAUCCCUCAUCCCUCCACAGGAACUCUGAGCUGCAGGAGAAUGCUCACCAGCUGUGCCUCUCCACUUCUUAUGUUGUGGAUUAAGAUGUAGUUCACCAUCUUCUCAGUCGAAAAAACAAACCUUCAGAGAUUCAUUUCCUCAAGGAGUAAUAAGAGAAUAUCGUCAUCUUGUGUUUCAUCUCAAUAAUUCACACCCUCUCGGCGUUUUUCUCUUCGCGAAUUAUUUCUUGAGGGCUUAAGUUACCAGUUUUGCAUUUAUUUUUCACAAAAGCAACUUCAAAGUUCUGGGGUUUUUUCUUCACUAUUACAUAGUCAGGAAUCUUGCUGCUACUGCAGAAAAAAUAACUCAUUUUCCCUUUAUACCAAGCUGAAAAGGCUCAUACAUCUUCAACCAGGAAAUCUAAUUGUAUAAAUUUUUUAUUCAUUUUGUACAAAGACAACAUUUUGUACUUCCCAACGAUUUAUUGAGGUAGAAGAGUAGGAGCAUUUUUAAGUAAUUAUUAAUGCUUAAAUGCUUGCUGAAAACAAUUUCAGGGUGCUGGAUUAGUCACAGAGGCCUUUUUCCAUCAUAAUUGUAUAUGAUCAGAAUGGACAACCAUGUGGAACUUCCCAGCUGGGAAUCCUGCUCUAACUAAAUGUAAAUAAUGUAAAUUUAUGGAAUCUUGGCGUCCUUGUUAAUGUGAGUCUAUUAGGAUGGCACAGUGCCUCAUCAUAAUUUGGCUGGAUCUUUGCCCUGUUGCAGCAUAGAUGCCAAUUAGUUAUUUGUUGGUUAUGGCCAGUGGGACACCUUGCUCUGGCUCACACCUGUUCGCUUCCUGUGCCAGAAAGGAAUUCAUGCAUACAGGAAGAAAAGUCACAAUGAGCAUGUGGAUAACGUUACCUCUCUAACAUAUUAAACAAAUAAACAUGUUAGAAACAAA